AUACACCCACCAAAAUGCCAGGACAUUUGGUUUGCACUAGGACGCAAAAGAACAUAAUCUCCAAGCUUUCUAUCUUUGUGGCAGCCCAGAAUGAAUUGGGGAACACAUCA
rnacentral:snoRNA from 1 species